rnacentral:rRNA from 1 species
UGGGGAUGACGUCAAGUCCUCAUGGCCUUAUGCCCAGGGCUACACACGUGCUACAAUGGGUGGUACAAAGAGAUGCAAGCUCGCGAGAGCAAGCCAACCUCAAAAAGCCAUCCUCAGUUCGGAUUGGAGUCUGCAACUCGACUCCAUGAAGUUGGAAUCGCUAGUAAUCGCGGAUCAGCAUGCCGCGGUGAAUACGUUCCCGGGCCUU